rnacentral:misc_RNA from 1 species
CGACGCUGGUCCCAGGAUCGAGCCGCCUGGGAGCGGCUUCG